GGAAGAGGCUGCCCAGGAAGGUGGUGGAGUCUCCUUCUCUGAGGACAUUCAAAACCCCUCUGGACAUGCUCCUGUGCAACCUGCUGUAGGUGGACCUGCUUUGGCAGGGGAGUUGGACUAGAUGAUCUCCAGAGGUCCCUUCCAACUCCAUGUGAUUCUGUAGAUAGAGCAGUAAGAACUGGAAAAAAACUACCAAAUAAGACGAUGUAGCACCCAUUUUUGGUGCCAGCUGGGAGCGUGCACACCUUCAUCAACAGAGUUCCUUGGUUUGGAAGGAGGAAGUUCAUGGAUUAUACAAACUGCUCAGAUCAUGGGCUUCUCAGAUGGCGAGUCAGCCUCACUUGUAUUUAGCAUUCUGACAGCAACUAUAAGGGCUUAUAAGGCCAAAAGGGGUAAAGAAACGUGGUGAAUUCUACCAUGAUUUGUAUUAAAGGCAUGUAAGAAAGGAGGACAGAACCUGUUUUACAUGGGCAGGUAAGUAAUGGUACAUGGAAAACCCAACUUCCAAAUCCUUUUUAGGAAUUUGGAAAGAAGACUACUUCUAAAAAUCUGACUUUUUAUACCCUAACUUGCUAAUUAACAUGAACUAAAUUUUUUCUUUCUUCCAGUGGGAAGAAUGAAGGUAAAGGUAAAAAGCAAUUCAGUUAACUUCUUGCAUAUCAUCAUCCCAGAAGUGCCUCUGAAGAGGGCUGGAACCAGUUCAAGAGAGGCAUGCACUUGAGAGCUCCUAGGGCAGACUUCCAAUUCGUAUUAACAAGCUGGGUUAGAAUUUUGUUCUGAUUCUAAGACAGGAAGACCAACAAGACGAAGUCAUAUGCAGGAGAUACUGGACAUAGAAUCUCAUUUAGAAAUAUUAAUCUGAUCACUUUAUGCUUCUUGAACAAUAGAUACGCUUAAGGGGUUGAAGAAACCUGUGAAAUUACCUGCUUUUGUGGCAAAAAAGGAAAUGCUACAAUUUGGCUUUUCUUCCCCGGGGUGGCUGUUGUCCUUUCUGAAGGACUCAACGUGGCACAGUGAAUAGCAGGGAGGUGUAUAUAUGACACAGAGUGUGGGUGGGAUGCAGAAGCAGCC
rnacentral:lncRNA from 1 species